GAUGAACGCUGGCGGCGUGCCUAAUACAUGCAAGUCGAGCGAACAGAUGAGGAGCUUGCUCCUCUGACGUUAGCGGCGGACGGGUGAGUAACACGUGGAUAACCUACCUAUAAGACUGGGAUAACUUCGGGAAACCGGAGCUAAUACCGGAUAAUAUAUUGAACCGCAUGGUUCAAUAGUGAAAGACGGUUUUGCUGUCACUUAUAGAUGGAUCCGCGCCGCAUUAGCUAGUUGGUAAGGUAACGGCUUACCAAGGCGACGAUGCGUAGCCGACCUGAGAGGGUGAUCGGCCACACUGGAACUGAGACACGGUCCAGACUCCUACGGGAGGCCGCAGUAGGGAAUCUUCCGCAAUGGGCGAAAGCCUGACGGAGCAACGCCGCGUGAGUGAUGAAGGUCUUCGGAUCGUAAAACUCUGUUAUUAGGGAAGAACAAAUGUGUAAGUAACUAUGCACGUCUUGACGGUACCUAAUCAGAAAGCCACGGCUAACUACGUG
rnacentral:rRNA from 1 species